rnacentral:rRNA from 1 species
UACGUAGGGCGCAAGCGUUCGAUCGAAUUAUUGGCGUAAAGAGCUCGUAGGCGGUUUGUCGCGUCUGCCGUGAAAGUCCGGGCUCAACUCCGGAUCUGCGGUGGGUACGGGCAACUAGAGUGAUGUAGGGGAGACUGGAAUUCCUGGUGUAGCGGUGAAAUGCGCAGAUAUCAGGAGGAACACCGAUGGCGAAGGCAGGUCUCUGGGCAUUAACUGACGCUGAGGAGCGAAAGCAUGGGGAGCGAACAGG